rnacentral:ncRNA from 1 species
UAAAGGAAUUGGCAUACCCGCUGAAAGGCGGCGACGCAAAGCCGUGGGUCUACCGGCGUAAUGCCUACGACUGCCUGGUUGCUCUU